GGCUGGACUCCCCAGUCCAGGCAGGGGCACGGCUGCCUGCUUACUGUGGCACUGUACCAAUCGCUCCUGAAGGAGAGUGAUACUGGGACAAAUGUCACACCGACGUGACAGAAGAGAGAAAGGCACCCAGGCACUUGUCAGUUCCUCUGUCUGCACCCACCACUGGGGCAACUCGUGAGGAGUGGGACAGACACAAAAGGAGAAGACAUCGCCUCUCCCCUCACAGGCUCACAGGCAGCAGAACCACACACCUGGUGCUCUGAGGUACAAUGCUGCCACAUGGGAUGUCUGAGUCCGCCCUUGCUGAGCAGGGAAUGAAUGAACCAAUGACAAACAAGAAGUUG